rnacentral:misc_RNA from 1 species
AAGUCGUAACAAGGUUUCCGUAGGUGAACCUGCGGAAGGAUCAUUAAAGAGUAAGGGUGCUCAGCGCCCGACCUCCAACCCUUUGUUGUUAAAACUACCUUGUUGCUUUGGCGGGACCGCUCGGUCUCGAGCCGCUGGGGAUUCGUCCCAGGCGGGCGCCCGCCAGACGUUAAAACCGAAAUACCAUCUUUGUUUAUUUUAAUCCCGGUCGUCUGAGUUAAAAUUUUGAAUAAAUCAAAA